rnacentral:misc_RNA from 1 species
UCUAAGUUGCCUUAGUUGUCUAUUUAGAGUCCUCAACUGAAUGUUAGUAACUAAAUACGAGGGUUGCGUUCGUUAUAGCACUUAAGCAUACGCUUCACAGCACGAACUGACGACGACCAUGCACCACCUGUGUCGGGAUAACCUCUGCUGAGUUUCCUCAACAUUGCCCUCCAUGUCAAACCUUGGUAAGGUUCUGCGCGUCGUAUCGAAUUAAACCACAUGCUCCACCGCUUGUGCGGGUCCCCGUCAAUUCCUUUGAGUUUUAGCCUUGCGGCCGUAGUACUCAGGCGGAGCAUUUAAAGCGUUAGCUGCGACACUAAGCAUAACACCUAAUAUCUAAUGCUCAUCGUUUAGGGCGUGGACUAC